rnacentral:rRNA from 1 species
GCUACCUUGUUGCGACUUAGUCCCAAUCACAGAGUUCGCCCUAGGCGUCUGCCUCCCGAAGGUUAGCUCGACGACCUUAGGCGCCCCCCGCUUUCGUGGCUUGACGGGCGGUGUGUACAAAGCUCAGGAACACAUUCACCGCAGUAUACCUGACCUGCGAUUACUAGCGAUUCCGGCUUCAUGCAGGCGAGUUGCAGCCUGCAAUCCGAACUAAGGCGCGCUUUUUGAGGUUUGCUUCCCCUCGCGGGCUCGCUUCCCUUUGUACGCACCAUUGUAGCACGUGUGCAGCCCUGGGCAUAAAGGCCAUGAUGACUUGACGUCCUCCCCACCUUCCUCCGGUUUGACACCGGCAGUCUCCUUAGAGUCCCCGGCAUUACCCGCUGGCAACUAAGGAUAAGGGUUGCGCUCGUUUAAGGACUUAACCCUACAUCUCACGACACGAGCUGACGACAGCCAUGCAGCACCUGUGCAUGUUUCACCCGAAGGCAGACUCAUCCCUUUCAGGCGAGCCAUCCAUGCAUGUCAAACCCAGGAUAAGGUUCUUCGCGUUGCCUCCAAUUAAGCCCCAUGCUCCACCGCUUGUGUGAGCCCUCCCUCCAUUCCUUUGAGUUUCAGCCUUGCCACCAUACUCCCCCGGCGGAGCACUUAAUGCUUUCGCUACCACCGGAUGGCCCAAACCCCCUCCCCUCCAGUGCUCCC